rnacentral:rRNA from 1 species
UACGGGGGGGGCAAGCGUUGUUCGGAAUUACUGGGCGUAAAGGGCUCGUAGGCGGCCAACUAAGUCAGACGUGAAAUCCCUCGGCUUAACCGGGGAACUGCGUCUGAUACUGGAUGGCUUGAGUGUGGGAGAGGGAUGCGGAAUUCCUGGUGUAGCGGUGAAAUGCGCAGAUAUCAGGAGGAACACCGGUGGCGAAGGCGGGUCUCUGGGCCGAUACUGACGCUGAGGAGCGAAAGCGUGGGGAGCGAACAGG